rnacentral:sRNA from 1 species
AUCAAUUCUCCAGACGCCAUUUGAGUGUCACGCCGCCCUUUUCGUUCUGGUCGAGGGCGGGAAUGGCCGAGA